rnacentral:tRNA from 1 species
UCUCGACUAGUAUAUCGGUGAGAACACAACCCUGUCACGGUUGAGAGCUGGGUUCGACUCCCAGGUCGAGAG